ACUCUGUUGCACUCCAGCCUGGCAACAGAGUGAGACUCUGUCUCAAAAAAAAAAAAAAAAGAUAUUUCAAGUUUUGCAAUAUAGCAAACAUUUUAUAUGAGCUUGUAUGAGCUCCUGUAUGAGGUCUUUCUCAUGAAGCUACUGAGGAUGUUUUCCAUCAAAAUAAGCAAGAAAAAUCAAGACAGAAAGAUAUAGGACAAUGGACACAGACAAUCCCACUCAGGAAAGAGGAGAAGGAGUGUCCGGGGCACCAGCUUGCACCGAGAGUUUCACCCUGUCACCCACGGUGGAGUGCAGUGGUACGAUCUCGGCUCUCGUCAACCUCUGCUCCUGGGUUCAAGUGAUUCUCCUGGCCCCAUCAGGGGGAAGGAAGGGGAGACCCUGUUGGCAUCACGAGAGAAUCUGGGUCAAGUCAUGCCUGAAGCUGAUCAAUCCAGGGCCCUCUGCAUUUUAGGAGCGAGUUUUGUGAAAUUUCCCUCUGAGGCUGCUACUCUGAUGGUUGGCGUUUCUGGGCUGACUGCAAGAGGCCAUCCUGGUGGGGCUGGACCCCCUUAGCUCUGGCUGAUGAAGCCACUGCUCGGGACACCCAGAAUCCUGGCUCCUCCAGAGAGGAUUGGAAUCAGCCUUAAGAACAAGUUUGUCUUGAUAUGGGGGGAGAAAAACCCACACGGCUUUUGGAGUCAGAAAGGACUGUGUAUGAAUCCUUUGUAUCACUUUGUAGCUGUAUGUCCUUGGACAAGUCGCCUCACCCCUCUGAGCCUGUUUCCUCCUCUGCACAACGGGAGCAUGCAGUGCCUCCAUUGUUGGACUCUAUUGAAGAUACAAUGAGAUCAUGAGAUAAAAUACCAUUGCUGCUUCAUAGAUGUUUCCGAAAUAGGCUUGUUUAAAAUGCUAGCCGGGUGCGGUGGCUCACGCCUGUAAUCCAGCACUUUGGGAGGCUGAGGUGGGUGGAUCGCUUGGGGUCAGCAGUUCGAGACCAGCCUGGCCAAUAUGGUGAAACCCCAUCUCUACUAAAAAUGCAAAAAUUAGCCGGGUGCGGUGGUGCAUGCCUGUAAUCCCAGCUACUUGGGAGGCUGGGGUAGGAGAAUCACUUGAACCUGGGAGGUGGAGGUUGCAGUGAGCCGAGAUUGCACCACUGCACUCCAGCCUGGGAGACAGAGUGAGACUCUGUCUCAAACAAAUAAAUACAUAAAAAAUAAAAUAAAUUGGUUCACAGAAUAAGAACAGAAAAGUUAAGUAAAGGAAAGAAGAGGCAGGGGAUACCUACUGUUGCACAGUGCAGGGGCUGCAUCCUUGCCCCAGGCCUGCCCCUUUCCACCUGAUGCUCUUUGGGAACUGCCCAGGUCCUGCCGCCUCCUGCCCUUGGACAGAGAAGACCUAUUCAGGUCUGGGCUGAGACACAGAAAUCAAGGGCCAGGGUGACUGAGGCACAGAGCCUGUCACCUGGAGAGAAACUGUUUCUCCUGCACGGGGAUGGAUGGGGUAGAGAGAAUGAAGCCAGAUGCACGGAGUGGAAACCCCAGGAAGCCUCCAGCGCAGCAGCUCUGCUCUGAGCCGUUCUUAGGCUUUCCCAGACUUCUACAUUAUCCUGAUAAUAAGCCCCUCAACUUUGUGUAAGUCUGAGUCUUGGAAUCAAGAGGUACCAACACAAAGGGAAUACAUCACGCUGAAGAGAGCUGCUGGGAAGACGGUCAAGCCUGGCUCCAAGAAUGGGCUGUGGGGGCAGGAUCUUGGUCCUGGAGAGAAGAAAAGAUCGUGGGGGCUUCUCAGGAGAGGCGGAGCUUUUCCCAGCCUGGAUGUAAGACUGUGGCCUCAAGUGGAGCUUCCUGCGGGGGUCCUGGUGAAUGACCUGGAUGCAGUGCCCAACCUCAUCACUGGCAAAGGCCGGGGCCACCUUAUGGCCGUGUCUGGACGUGAGACUCCCCAAAAGCCGAGGGUGGGAUGUAGACUCGUUAAGAUGUGCCUGGGAAAGCUGCUGUUUCCAAAGGCCAGAUGGCCACCACCAUGCCACGGUCACAGUAGGGGGUGGCAAACCCACUGCCCCAGGCAAUGGUGGCGAUAGAGUGAGGGUGCGGGCUGGUGAGGCGCUGGUGGGAUGAAGCUGGCUACUGCCCUCCUCUUUCUCUCAUUUCCCCACACAACAAGACCCAUGGGGGACCCCGAAGCUUCACCAGCAGAGCUGAUGCAGGCACAGCGGUGCCUCUCUGCAGCCCACUGCUAUGGCCGGCAUGUCCCCGCGUCUCCCCUGGAGCCAAAGGAGGGGCCAUGGGGGUGUCCCUGCUGCUGCCCUUGAUGCUUGCAGUGCAGCGGCCCAAAUGUCCCUUUAAAAUGAGGCUGGUCAGUUCUCUCCUCUGCACGAUACCUGGAGCCAUCUCACUCAGAGUGAGAGCCAAUGGCCUUAAGUGACCCUCUGUGACCGGCUCACUGCCUCCUCUCCAGGCCCGACGCCAGCUUCCUUGUUUGUGCCCUUGACCUUGCCAGGCACGCAGCCCUCACAUCCCCAAGAGCCUUGACUCUGCCUGAGGAGCUCUCCCUCCAGGGGCCUGCAGGCCUUCCCUUCCCCAGGGGCCUCCCCGACCACCCGGGGGUAGGACACUCCACCUUGGGUGCUCCCCACCUGCCUUGUCUGUCCUUACCUCCUUCUGGCACUGUAAGAACUGAACUUGUCUACUUCCUUCAUGCUUUACCAUCUUUCUCUCCCUGCAGGAAGAUAAGUUCCCCAGGGACAGGGACUCCUACUUUUUUGUUCAUUGAUGUGUCCCAUGAGCCUAGAGAAGUACCUGGAUCAGAGUCCCUGCUCCACAAACCUGCCAGGAUGAAAUGGAUGAGGACCUGUUCCUGCACUAGCUGAAGCCGGGAUGCAUGGCACACCUUUUCAAAAACCUCCUUUGGGUCGGGUGUGGUGGCUCAUGCCUGUAAUCCCAGCACUUUUGGAGACUGAGGCAGGCGGAUCACCAGAGGUCAGGAGUUCGAGACCAGCCUGGCCAGGUAUAGAUGGUGAAACCCCAUCUAUACUAAAAAUACAAAAAUUAGCUGGGUAUGGUGGCGGGUGCCUAUAAUCCUAGCUACUCUGGAGGCUGAAGCAGGAGAAUUGUCUGAAUCCGGAGGCGGAGGCUGCAGUGAGCCAAGAUUGCGCCACUGCACUCCAGCCUGGGUGACAGAGCGAGACUCCAUCUCAAAAGGGGGAAAAAAAAAAGAAACCCUCCUUUGAAUGAAACAUAUUCAUUGCCCCAAGUUAAAAAAAAAAUCUUAAUUAUAUGUUAAUAUAUAAUAAACAUGUAUUUGCAUUUGUAUAUAAUAAACAUGUAUUUGUAUGU